AGCUCAGAGACCCAACCCAAUAACACCGUAAAGUUGCAGACUAUCUCUAUAGAGAACUUCCGGAUCCAUAACGGCAAUGCAUUAUGAAUUGUAAAUUGCAUUUUGUUUAGCUGUUUAAGCUUGGAAGCAAAGCCAUAUUUUCUGAUCCCAAAAUCUCAAUGCCAAUUGAAAAUGGGUGAGAGAUCUGAUGUGAAAUGUUGAUGGCGAGUCGUCGUGGGGCCGAAUCAAAGGGAAGAGACGUGAGCAGUGAGAGCAGCAUUACAUUACAGAGAAUGAGAGAAACAGAGAAAGCAGAACCCACUACUUCACAAAACCAGAAACCAAAGAAAAACCCUCAGUUGCAGCGGUCUGGGAAGAAACCCAAUUCCAAAAUUGCCCUAAAACCAAAACCCUCUACUGGUUGGGGCUUGACCUCUGGUUGUUGUCGCUCAGUUGAUUCGACAUCUGCUGUGUCUGUUAACGAUUUCAAGCACAAGAAGAAGAUGAUGGUUGAUGAUGUUGAUGAAUCAGGUGAGACCUCCAAUCCCCUAACUUUAUCUGAUUUCACCACUGGUUUUGUUGAAAAUACUUCUACAACUACUCCUGUUUGUAAAUUAGCAGCAUGUGUUCCUGUUUUGGGAUGUGAAUUUGAGUUUGAAUUUGAAUUUGAUGAUAAGCUUAUGAAAGAUGAUUCCACUGCAAUAGCAAUAGCAGCUACUACUACUACUACUACAACUCCUCCUGUUGAGGCCUCAGUCUCCCCAGAGAUUCAAUGUGGGUCAUCUUUGCUGGUGUCUUCAGCAACGCCUGCUUGUUACGGCGCUGGACAUAUUAUUUCUGGGGUGACUGAUAGGAGAAAAUGCAGAGCUAGAGGUUUACUUACUGUAGGAAAAAAUGAUUCUAAUUUUGGUAAAUCAAACAUUUCCAACAAUGCUGAUGAUGACAUUGAAAUUCCUAGUAAAUCGGGGAUGUCUUUGGCCCCUCUGCCCGUUGAAGCUUCAGUUCAUUGGCUCUUAUCUCCCUGUCACGACGAGGAUGGGGAUCACGAGACUGAUACUGAAAAUGGGUUGCAACCUCUUCGAAAAUCACUAGGCUUUGCCUGCGCCUCUUCACCUUUGUCGUCGGGUCACAGAAUUUCUUCUGACUUAUGCAACAUUUUUUAUAGUAGUAGCACUACUAGUGGAAGUUGUAGUAAGAGAAAAACUAGGGUUACUUUGCUUUCUCCCAGUGGAAAUCCUGCAUUGUCAGUUUCUCCUCAUGCUACACCUACUUCUGAGGCGAUUAUCUCACAAGAGCAGAGGAGACCUAGAUAUGAUCUCUCUGGGGAAAAUUCACCAUUCUCCAUUGAAUCUUUGGGCAGUGGGAAUGUUAUUCAAACCCCACAAUCCGAUUUGAGCUCAGAUAGGCGUGUUGGACUGUUUUGGUUCAAUGAACAUGAUCAUCAAAUAAAUGAUUUUGGAUCUGAAAUGGAUUCGGUGGCUCGGAUUGCAAGUUUAUCUCCUAAGAACCAGACAUCAAUCUGGGAUCCACUAGGAUUAAGUUUUCAGUUCUCUGACUUGAUUUCACCUUCCAAUUCCAUUGACUUUCCCCAACUCCCAAACACUAGGGAUAAUCAAGCUUCUUGCAUUUCUAUUUCUACUUUAGAGGAUAUAUCAUGCUCACAGAUGAGGAUAUCAUGGAGGGACGGAUUGGCGAGUCGGAUUUUUGAGAUGGAUGAGUUUAAUUGCUGCAGAUGCUUGUCAGAUGAUGAGAAUGAUGUCAGGGAAUGCAGUAAUGGCAAGUCCAAAUCCAGUCCAAGUCAUGACUCGAAUAUUGAUGUAGGGAAUGCUGCAAUUCUUAGCAAUGGUUUUGGAUUUCCUGAAGUUGUUGGCCAUGAAUCAAAGUCUGAUGAAGAAGGAAAACAAAAAUUUCAUAUGCAAAGAUCCAACUCUUGUGCAGAGUCCAUAUCCAUUGAAGGUGGCGGCUUGGUUGCUUCGGGGGAUUCGGAUUGGACCAUGUGCUACAAAAACCAAUUGUUUCAAUUGUAACUGUUCUGUUCCCAUGUCAUUUUUUCUAUUAUUGUUUCUGGAUUCUUGCUCUAAAGUCAUAGCAACAAAACAAUGUUUUGAAGGAUUUGCCAGGCACAGAGAUAGUUGAUUUUGCAAGAUUUUCAAAGAAAAGGAAUCAGGGUUAGCAUAUUUAUAAUUUGAUGCAUGGAGUGGAAAUCAUUUUGAUAUCAAGCUAAGCAAUGGGUGUGUGGAAGUUGUUAAAUUGAGAUUCAAAUACUGAAUCAUAAAAUUUUGGAGACAAUUUUAAAAAGAGAGUGAAAAAAAUGAAAAAGAAAAACACAAGUAGACAUGUGCAGAUUGAGAAUAAAAGUAAAAUGAAGAAUUAGACAUUUAGGCACAAAAAGCUUGUUUGUGGGGGUUGUUGGGUUUGGGCUUGAACAAUGGGCUUUUACCACUGUUUCCUCUUUCAUUCUUGUGGAUCUAGGCGCGAUGUAGAUGUGGACUCAAGGACACUUCUGCUGUAUUUUUGGGCUUUGCUAAGUGAAUUGAGAUCUUCAUUCUGAGUUGGAACACACUGUUAAUGGGUUGGUAAGAUCCAUUUUGCUGCACAAAAGUGAAAGUGGAUCACUUGACAGAGAGAGCAUGUAAAGGUGGUCUUACACAAACAGAGAACUGGGGCUAAGGCUGAUCUGGACAAAAGGAUUGGAAGACGAAGAAGCAAUUUUGCGGUUGCAAAAAGAUAGGGCAGUUGCAAAAAGAUAGGUUGCCAGUCACACAUUAGCGAUGGGUGAAGUUUAUUUAUUAUGAUUUGGUUUCACGCUAGUCCUUAUUUCUUCCAACCAUUUCAACCCUAGCCACCAUUUCAACCCUAGCCACCUCCUCAAUUCUGCUCUCUCUCCCUCAUCUCUCUCUGCCUCCAAUUGCGUCACCACCGUCUCCACCUUCGAUCGCCACCAAAGCUCUCUCUAAGAUUGAGAUGGUGAAGAAGUGAGUCCCUGAAUGUCUCAGCAGCUCUCUUUGGUCCAGCGCUCGUCCUCCUCCUCCUCCUCCACCGCCUCAUGAGUCUCGCCUCGACAAUGAUGACACCAAAUCUACCUCCACCGCCACUGCCACUGCCACCGCCGAUUCUUCUUCUUUGUCCAAAUCUGCUGCCUCUUCUGCUGCCGUGGAGUCUCUGGUUCAGACCCUUCGUCUGAUGUGAGACCGGAGCCUCCCGAAGUGGAAAUCAGAGAUCCAUUGAGCAAUCAUAGUGAUAGUGGCAGCUCUGGGUGUACUUCGGUUGAAGACAUUUAUCGCCAAGCUCAGCUUUUACAAGAGGUUAGCAUAGAUCUCUC